AGUGAACGCUGGCGGUAUGCCUAACACAUGCAAGUCGAACGGCAGCACAGUAAGAGCUUGCUCUUACGGGUGGCGAGUGGCGGACGGGUGAGGAAUACAUCGGAAUCUACUUUUUCGUGGGGGAUAACGUAGGGAAACUUACGCUAAUACCGCAUACGACCUACGGGUGAAAGCAGUGGAUCUUCGGACCUUGCGCGAUUGAAUGAGCCGAUGUCGGAUUAGCUAGUUGGCGGGGUAACGGCCCACCAAGGCGACGAUCCGUAGCUGGUCUGAGAGGAUGAUCGGCCACACUGGAACUGAGACACGGUCCAGACUCCUACGGGAGGCAGCAGUGGGGAAUAUUGGACAAUGGGCGAAAGCCUGAUCCAGCCAUACCGCGUGGGUGAAGAAGGCCUUCGGGUUGUAAAGCCCUUUUGUUGGGAAAGAAAAGCAGCAGGUUAAUACCCCGCUGUUCUGACGGUACCCAAAGAAUAAGCACCGGCUAACUUCGUG
rnacentral:rRNA from 1 species